GCCUACUGCAGUAUUUCACUCUUUGGCUGGAACCUCAGAACCUUCACUAGCUCCCUAUUGCCUUCGUUAUAAAGGUCGAACUUGUAUCCCUCAGUGAACAGACCAUAUCCUGCCUGCCUACUGGAGCAACUAUGAUGUGCCUCUCCCUGCACUGUGGGGGAGGCAGGAGAAGAGGAAGAGGUGCUUCUUCCUAAUGGAGAAUUUUCUGUUCAUUGGGGGGUGAUAAGGAAAGCUCCUGGAGAAGCAUCAGUGCCCAAGAUCAACUGACGUUUAUCUACAAGGAUUUUUAUCAGGGUUGUUUGAAACCAGGGGUCAGCAAAAUUGUUUCGUGACCAGUCAAGUAUUGCCGUGACCCUCAGGUUGAAGGUCACAUAACCUGAGCAUGCCCAGAUGAACCAAGUGUGCAGCCAGAGGGGGAACCUAAGGGCUUGGACUGACGAUCGGGGGACUGAAUUAAGAAGUGGACAUGGCAGGACCCAGGAUCCAAUCAGGUCAAUCCCUAGCAUCAUCUCAUGGAAGGAUCCAAUCAGAUCAUGCCUCCCAGCAUCACUUCAUUGCAAGAUCCAAUCAGAUCAUGCCUCAUUACUUCAUGCCUAUAAAACCUGACCCAGCCCUCUGUUUAGGAGGCACUGUUUUAGGAAUUAUCCCCUGUGGUCCCCUUACUUGCUGCAAGUAAUAAAAUCCCCUUGUUAAGUCCU
rnacentral:lncRNA from 10 species